AGUGAACGCUGGCGGUAGGCCUAACACAUGCAAGUCGAACGGCAGCACAGUAAGAGCUUGCUCUUACGGGUGGCGAGUGGCGGACGGGUGAGGAAUACAUCGGAAUCUACUUUUUCGUGGGUGAUAACGUAGGGAAACUUACGCUAAUACCGCAUACGACCUACGGGUGAAAGCAGUGGAUCUUCGGACCUUGCGCGAUUGAAUGAGCCGAUGUCGGAUUAGCUAGUUGGCGUGGUAAAGGCCCACCAAGGCGACGAUCCGUAGCUGGUCUGAGAGGAUGAUCAGCCACACUGGAACUGAGACACGGUCCAGACUCCUACGGGAGGCAGCAGUGGGGAAUAUUGGACAAUGGGCGCAAGCCUGAUCCAGCCAUACCGCGUGGGUGAAGAAGGCCUUCGGGUUGUAAAGCCCUUUUGUUGGGAAAGAAAAGCAGCAGGUUAAUACCCCGCUGUUCUGACGGUACCCAAAGAAUAAGCACCGGCUAACUUCGUG
rnacentral:rRNA from 1 species